rnacentral:rRNA from 1 species
GAUGAACGCUGGAGCGUGCCUAAUACAUGCAAGUCGAGCGAACAGAUGAGGAGCUUGCUCCUCUGACGUUAGCGGCGGACGGGUGAGUAACACGUGGAUAACCUACCUAUAAGACUGGGAUAACUUCGGGAAACCGGAGCUAAUACCGGAUAAUAUAUUGAACCGCAUGGUUCAAUAGUGAAAGACGGUUUUGCUGUCACUUAUAGAUGGAUCCGCGCCGCAUUAGCUAGUUGGUAAGGUAACGGCUUACCAAGGCAACGAUGCGUAGCCGACCUGAGAGGGUGAUCGGCCACACUGGAACUGAGACACGGUCCAGACUCCUACGGGAGGCAGCAGUAGGGAAUCUUCCGCAAUGGGCGAAAGCCUGACGGAGCAACGCCGCGUGAGUGAUGAAGGUCUUCGGAUCGUAAAACUCUGUUAUUAGGGAAGAACAAAUGUGUAAGUAACUAUGCACGUCUUGACGGUACCUAAUCAGAAAGCCACGGCUAACUACGUG